GUCCAACAUCCAACUCAAGUCACAUCCAAUAUGGGUAUAAUGCUCAUAUACUUUUUCCCGAGAGACCUGAUCAGCCAGAUUGCCAGUAUUACAUGAAGAAUGGUAGCUGCAAGUAUGGAUCAUCUUGCAAGUACCAUCAUCCCAGAGAUAGAAUAACUUCAUCAGCUGCAUGCACUGUUGGACCUCUUGGACUUCCUCUUAGACCGGUAAAUUCAUUCAAGUUGCUUUUAAGAUUUAUUUUUAUUUUUUGUUUCAUUAUUGUUUAUUGUCGUUUAUUUUUUGUAAAGGGUCAAGCUGUGUGUGGAUUCUACAGUAAUUACGGUACUUGCAAGUAUGGUUUAGGAUGUAAAUUUGAUCAUCCACUGACGGGAUAUUAUAAUUAUGGCACUGCUUCCACUUAUCCCCCAUCCAAUCCUUCGGCA
rnacentral:lncRNA from 1 species